rnacentral:rRNA from 1 species
UACGUAGGUGGCAAGCGUUAUCCGGAUUUACUGGGUGUAAAGGGAGCGUAGACGGCAGUGCAAGUCUGAAGUGAAAGGCAAGGGCUCAACCCUUGGACUGCUUUGGAAACUGUGCUGCUGGAGUGUCGGAGAGGCAAGUGGAAUUCCUAGUGUAGCGGUGAAAUGCGUAGAUAUUAGGAGGAACACCAGUGGCGAAGGCGGCUUGCUGGACGAUGACUGACGUUGAGGCUCGAAAGCGUGGGGAGCAAACAGG